rnacentral:rRNA from 1 species
AACGAACGCUGGCGGCAUGCCUAACACAUGCAAGUCGAACGAGACCUUCGGGUCUAGUGGCGCACGGGUGCGUAACGCGUGGGAACUUGCCCUUAGGUUCGGUAUAAUUCCCCGAAAGGGGUGCUAAUACCGGAUAAUGUCAUCGGCCCAAAGAUUUAUCGCCUUUGGAUGUGCCUGCGUUGGAUUAGCUAGUUGGUAGGGUAAAAGCCUACCAAGGCGACGAUCCAUAGCUGGUCUGAGAGGAUGAUCAGCCACACUGGGACUGAGACACGGCCCAGACUCCUACGGGAGGCAGCAGUGGGGAGUAUUGGACAAUGGGCGAAAGCCUGAUCCAGCAAUGCCGCGUGAGUGAUGAAGGCCUUAGGGUUGUAAAGCUCUUUUACCCGGGAUGAUAAUGACAGUACCGGGAGAAUAAGCGCCGGCUAACUCCGUG